CAGAGGCGUGCCUAAUACUGCAAGUCGAGCGGACAGAUGGGAGCUUGCUCCCUGAUGUUAGCGGCGGACGGGUGAGUAACACGUGGGUAACCUGCCUGUAAGACUGGGAUAACUCCGGGAAACCGGGGCUAAUACCGGAUGGUUGUUUGAACCGCAUGGUUCAAACAUAAAAGGUGGCUUCGGCUACCACUUACAGAUGGACCCGCGGCGCAUUAGCUAGUUGGUGAGGUAACGGCUCACCAAGGCAACGAUGCGUAGCCGACCUGAGAGGGUGAUCGGCCACACUGGGACUGAGACACGGCCCAGACUCCUACGGGAGGCAGCAGUAGGGAAUCUUCCGCAAUGGACGAAAGUCUGACGGAGCAACGCCGCGUGAGUGAUGAAGGUUUUCGGAUCGUAAAGCUCUGUUGUUAGGGAAGAACAAGUACCGUUCGAAUAGGGCGGUACCUUGACGGUACCUAACCAGAAAGCCACGGCUAACUACGUGCCAGCAGCCGCGGUAAUACGUAGGUGGCAAGCGUUGUCCGGAAUUAUUGGGCGUAAAGGGCUCGCAGGCGGUUUCUUAAGUCUGAUGUGAAAGCCCCCGGCUCAACCGGGGAGGGUCAUUGGAAACUGGGGAACUUGAGUGCAGAAGAGGAGAGUGGAAUUCCACGUGUAGCGGUGAAAUGCGUAGAGAUGUGGAGGAACACCAGUGGCGAAGGCGACUCUCUGGUCUGUAACUGACGCUGAGGAGCGAAAGCGUGGGGAGCGAACAGGAUUAGAUACCCUGGUAGUCCACGCCGUAAACGAUGAGUGCUAAGUGUUAGGGGGUUUCCGCCCCUUAGUGCUGCAGCUAACGCAUUAAGCACUCCGCCUGGGGAGUACGGUCGCAAGACUGAAACUCAAAGGAAUUGACGGGGGCCCGCACAAGCGGUGGAACAUGUGGUUUAAUUCGAAGCAACGCGAAGAACCUUACCAGGUCUUGACAUCCUCUGACCAUCCUAGAGAUAGGACGUCCCCUUCGGGGGCAAAAUGACAGGGGGUGCAUGGUUGUCCUCAGCUCGGGCCC
rnacentral:rRNA from 1 species